rnacentral:rRNA from 1 species
UGGGGAAUUUUGGACAAUGGGCGCAAGCCUGAUCCAGCCAUGCCGCGUGCGGGAAGAAGGCCUUCGGGUUGUAAACCGCUUUUGUCAGGGAAGAAAUCUUCUUGAGUUAAUACCUCGGGAGGAUGACGGUACCUGAAGAAUAAGCACCGGCUAACUACGUGCCAGCAGCCGCGGUAAUACGUAGGGUGCAAGCGUUAAUCGGAAUUACUGGGCGUAAAGCGUGCGCAGGCGGUUUUGUAAGACAGAGGUGAAAUCCCCGGGCUCAACCUGGGAACUGCCUUUGUGACUGCAAGGCUUGAGUGCGGCAGAGGGGGGAUGGAAUUCCGCGUGUAGCAGUGAAAUGCGUAGAUAUGCGGAGGAACACCGAUGGCGAAGGCAAUCCCCCUGGGCCUGCACUGACGCUCAUGCACGAAAGCGUGGGGAGCAAAACAGGAUUAGAUACCCUGGUAGUCCACGCCCUAAAACGAUGUCAACUGGUUGUUGGGAAGGUUCCUUCUCAGUAACGUAGCUAACGCGUGAA